UACGGGGGGAGCAAGCGUUGUUCGGAUUUACUGGGCGUAAAGGGCGCGUAGGCGGCCUCUGCAAGUCGACUGUGAAAUCUCCGGGCUUAACCUGGGAACUGCAUUCGAGACUGCAUUGCUAGAGUAUGGGAGAGGGAAGUGGAAUUUCCGGUGUAGCGGUGAAAUGCGUAGAUAUCGGAAGGAACAUCAGUGGCGAAAGCGACUUCCUGGACCAAUACUGACGCUCAUGUGCGAAAGCGUGGGGAGCAAACAGG
rnacentral:rRNA from 1 species